GAUAAACGCUGGCGGCGUGCCUAGUACAUGCAAGUCGAGCGAACGGACGAGAAGCUUGCUUCUCUGAUGUUAGCGGCGGACGGGUGAGUAACACGUGGAUAACCUACCUAUAAGACUGGGAUAACUUCGGGAAACCGGAGCUAAUACCGGAUAAUAUUUUGAACCGCAUGGUUCAAAAGUGAAAGACGGUCUUGCUGUCACUUAUAGAUGGAUCCGCGCUGCAUUAGCUAGUUGGUAAGGUAACGGCUUACCAAGGCAACGAUGCAUAGCCGACCUGAGAGGGUGAUCGGCCACACUGGAACUGAGACACGGUCCAGACUCCUACGGGAGGCAGCAGUAGGGAAUCUUCCGCAAUGGGCGAAAGCCUGACGGAGCAACGCCGCGUGAGUGAUGAAGGUCUUCGGAUCGUAAAACUCUGUUAUUAGGGAAGAACAUAUGUGUAAGUAACUGUGCACAUCUUGACGGUACCUAAUCAGAAAGCCACGGCUAACUACGUGCCAGCAGCCGCGGUAAUACGUAGGUGGCAAGCGUUAUCCGGAAUUAUUGGGCGUAAAGCGCGCGUAGGCGGUUUUUUAAGUCUGAUGUGAAAGCCCACGGCUCAACCGUGGAGGGUCAUUGGAAACUGGAAAACUUGAGUGCAGAAGAGGAAAGUGGAAUUCCAUGUGUAGCGGUGAAAUGCGCAGAGAUAUGGAGGAACACCAGUGGCGAGGGCGACUUUCUGGUCUGUAACUGACGCUGAUGUGCGAAAGCGUGGGGAUCAAACAGGAUUAGAUACCCUGGUAGUCCACGCCGUAAACGAUGAGUGCUAAGUGUUAGGGGGUUUCCGCCCCUUAGUGCUGCAGCUAACGCAUUAAGCACUCCGCCUGGGGAGUACGACCGCAAGGUUGAAACUCAAAGGAAUUGACGGGGACCCGCACAGGCGGUGGAGCAUGUGGUUUAAUUCGAAGCAACGCGAAGAACCUUACCAAAUCUUGACAUCCUUUGACAACUCUAGAGAUAGAGCCUUCCCCUUCGGGGGACAAAGUGACAGGUGGUGCAUGGUUGUCGUCAGCUCGUGUCGUGAGAUGUUGGGUUAAGUCCCGCAACGAGCGCAACCCUUAAGCUUAGUUGCCAUCAUUAAGUUGGGCACUCUAAGUUGACUGCCGGUGACAAACCGGAGGAAGGUGGGGAUGACGUCAAAUCAUCAUGCCCCUUAUGAUUUGGGCUACACACGUGCUACAAUGGACAAUACAAAGGGCAGCGAAACCGCGAGGUCAAGCAAAUCCCAUAAAGUUGUUCUCAGUUCGGAUUGUAGUCUGCAACUCGACUACAUGAAGCUGGAAUCGCUAGUAAUCGUAGAUCAGCAUGCUACGGUGAAUACGUUCCCGGGUCU
rnacentral:rRNA from 1 species